rnacentral:misc_RNA from 1 species
UUAAUUAAUUUAAUAAUUGUCUCAGACUGCAUACUUCAGACAGCGUUCACAGGUGGCUUCGGCGGGCGCGGGCCAGAGGGCAGAAGCCCCCCGGCGGCCGUGAGGCGGGCCCGCCGAAGCAACAAGGUACGAUAAACACGGGUGGGAGGUUGGACCCAGAGGGCCCUCACUCGGUAAUGAUCCUUCCGCAGGUUCACCUACGGAAA